rnacentral:snRNA from 1 species
AUUAUUUUUUCAAAAAAAAAAAAAAAAAAUGCGGUUCUUAUCAAAUUCAGUUUAAUAUUCUGAUACGUUCCCCGUCCCCCACUCGGGGGACCUACAUAUUAAAUGGAUUUUUCGAACAGGGAGUCGGAAAUGGGGCUUGCUCCGUCCGCUCCACGCAUCGACCCGGUAAUUGUUUGCAGUAACCUCCCGGGAACGUGCAACACUU